GUCCCUGUAGCGCAAGGGAUAGCACGUUGGACUUCUAAUCCAAAGUGUGGUUCAAAUCCCACCUGGGAUG